GCGCCGCCCUCUCGAUUUGGAAGCUGCCUCUCCACUGGCCGGAGAAGCUCGUCUGUCAGCUAACGGUGGAAACUAGGGAACUAAGAGGAAACAGCUAUGAGCAGAGCAGGACACCUGUCUUGGCUCAAAGCAGUGGUUGGAGAACUGCUGGAGCCUCAGUAUGGGUCACGGCAAGAAGUCAAAGGUGGGGCCGGCAAGGCGGCUCAACCAACCAGUACAGAAGCUUGCCGCGGAGAUCGUUCAUCUAGAUACAACCGCUGGGACUUCCAUGGAAGGUGAGGACAAACACCGGAGCACUGUCCUCUGACCACCACAUGCUUGCUCUGUCACACAAGCACCUCAAGAGUACAUAACUGUGGCUGGGCUUGGUGGCACAUACCUUUAAUCCCAGCACUUGGAAGGCAGAGGCAGGCGGAUCUCUGUGAGUUUGAGGCCAGCCAAAGCUACACAGUGAGACCCUAUCAUAUUUAAAACAAAACACAUUUAAGGAGUGUUAAAAAUGUUUUUAAAGAAUAUGAACUAUAUUAGUAUUGGAGGCACCAGCAGUCAUGAUAUUCUGGCGCAGAUAAUCAUGGGAAUGGGUUGGGGUGAGUGCAGUCUUUCUAGUGUUAUAGGUGAUGAAACAAGAUAUGAUACAGGAAGUGUGCACAUGUGCACACACCCACCACAACCACCCUAAGAGCUUUUGCUGCCCAGAGAAGUCCACUGGCCAUCACAAGAAUAUGUGAUUAACUAAACAGCCAUUUAAAAAUUGUAUUUCUUUUAUACUUUACGUGCUUGAGUACUUUGCCUGCACAUACAUAUGUGCACCACAUACGUGACUGGUGCCUGCUGAGAUAAUGUAUUCAUUAACGUUUUUGGCGAUUUCAUAUAUGUACAUAAUGAAUUUUGGUCACUCUCGCCAUUACCAUCUCGCAUCUCUCCCCUACUUCCACUGAGCCUCAGCAAGCACCUUUUUUUUGUUUGUUUAAAUAAAGGAAGUGAGGCUAUUGCCACAAACAGAAACAACUGGGAAUGUUUGUUUUCCAUGACAAAAGUCAAGCUUGCAAGUGGACAUGGAAUUCUGGGGAGGCUCACGCUGCCAUGCUAAACUUUGGAUUCAAGCAGCAAGUAGAGACAAAAAGAGAUGUGUCCUUUCAAAGUUACAUAACGAGCUGUGCCAACAUCUAGAUCCAAAGGAGCUCCUAAAGACAGGGAGUUAUGCUACAGGUUAAAUAGACCCAAGAUCCCAGUGUGACGAGAAGGCUCAAGUAACAGAGCACAGAAAAUUCAUGACAUCAGGUUCACUCUGAUUUUAAAGAAAUUGUUGGGGUUGCGGUGUAGCUGAACUGGUGGGGUGCUUGUCUAGCAAGCACAAGGCCCAAAGGCAAUCUCUAACAGCAAAUAAACCAGGUCUGGCAGCACCAGCCUGUAAUGCCAGCACACAGGACACCUAAGCAAGGGGACCAGAAACACAAGUUGCUCUCUGUUACAGAUCAAAUUCGGGACCAGCUCAGAGACAGGAGACCCGGUCUC
rnacentral:lncRNA from 1 species